CACGUAUAUCUCAAUACUCAAUAACUUAAAAAGAAAAAAGGGAAACGAAAAACAAAACAAACAAGAAACAGACGCCUUAUAGUUCUCACAAAGAUAAAACUCAUCUGCUUGGAUAUUAAAGUUUAACAAGAAAAUAAACCAACUGUUUCUAACAUCUGAUUCAAAACUUCAACAACCACCUAAUUAAUAUGGCAGGAAUCCAAGAGAAGCUUGAACUA
rnacentral:lncRNA from 1 species